rnacentral:rRNA from 1 species
CAAUAGCGUAUAUUAAAGUUGUUGCAGUUAAAAAGCUCGUAGUUGGAUUUGUGGCGUACGGUGUGUUCCGGGCACUUGUUGUCUGAGUAACCUGCUGUUGCCAUCCUUGGGUGGAACCUGUGUGGCAUUAGGUUGUCGUGCAGGGGAUGCCCAUCAUUUACUGUGAAAAAAUUAGCGUGUUCAAAGCAGGCUUAUGCCGUUGAAUAUAUUAGCAUGGAAUAAUGAGAUAGGACUUUUUUGCUAUUUUGUUGGUUUGCGCAAAGAGGUAAUGAUUAAUAGGGACAGUUGGGGGUAUUCGUAUUCCAUUGUCAGAGGUGAAAUUCUUGGAUUUUUGGAAGACGAACUACUGCGAAAGCAUUUACCAAGGAUGUUUUCAUUAA